GAGAGAGGCUCGUUAGCAACGAAUACUGCUAAUCUA
rnacentral:tRNA from 1 species